GACGAACGCUGGCGGCGUGCUUAACACAUGCAAGUCGAACGGUAAGGCCCUUCGGGGUACACGAGUGGCGAACGGGUGAGUAACACGUGGGUGAUCUGCCCUGCACUUCGGGAUAAGCCUGGGAAACUGGGUCUAAUACCGGAUAGGACCACUGCCUGCAUGGGUGGUGGUGGAAAGCUUUUGCGGUGUGGGAUGGGCCCGCGGCCUAUCAGCUUGUUGGUGGGGUGAUGGCCUACCAAGGCGACGACGGGUAGCCGGCCUGAGAGGGUGACCGGCCACACUGGGACUUAGAUACGGCCCAGACGCCUACGGGAGGCAGCAGUGGGGAAUAUUGCACAAUGGGCGCAAGCCUGAUGCAGCGACGCCGCGUGAGGGAUGACGGCCUUCGGGUUGUAAACCUCUUUCAGCACCGACGAAGCGCAAGUGACGGUAGGUGCAGAAGAAGGACCGGCCAACUACGUGCCAGCCGCCGCGGUAACAC
rnacentral:rRNA from 1 species